GACGAACGCUGGCGGCGUGCCUAAUACAUGCAAGUAGAACGCAGUUGCGAACGGGUGAGUAACGCGUAGGUAACUGCCUCAUAGCGGGGGAUAACUGUGGGAAACGAUAGCUAAUACCGCAUACUGUGAGAUGGACCUGCGUUGUAUUAGCUAGUUGGUGAGGUAAAGGCUCACCAAGGCGCCGAUCCAUGGCCGACCUGAGAGGUGUAUCUGCCACAAUGGGACUGAGAAAAGGCCCAGACUCCUACGGGAGGCAGCAGUAGGGAAUCUUCGGCAAUUGAAGGAAGGCUGAACGAGGAACGCCGCGUGAGUGAAGAAGGUUUUCGGAUCGUAAAGCUCUGUUGUUAGAGAAGCGGUAUCUAACCAGAAAGGGACGGCUAACUACGUGCCAGCAGCCGCGGUAAUUC
rnacentral:rRNA from 1 species